rnacentral:lncRNA from 1 species
UUUGAUUAGUCAGGGGAUGAAUCUACAUAAACCAAUUUAUGAUACUUCAAUUUAAAUUGAAUGAUACAGCCGUAAAAUCAUCUCUUUUUGUGCCCUCCAGAAUUUGAGAGAGUUGCCGUACAACAAUACAUUUCAAAAACAAAGACUCGCCAAGUAUAAUGUAGGAAAAGAAAAUUGUUUGACUGCCGUUUUCUUCACAAGUUUGACAUCUUAACCUUGAUCCCUCUGUACUCUGAUAGAACAACAUCCUUGAAAUUUUAUACAUGGAAAUUUGGAUAUUUCUAGAAAGAAUUAUGUCGAGGCUGCGGUCAAGCCCUGAAUUAGGCAGCAGCACCAACUGGUUGGGCAGCCUUAAGCCUUGAAGAUCCAUAGAGUGUUUCUUCAAAGCGGAUAAUCUCAUUCUUGGAACCGUAUGCUACUUGAGUUCUCUCAUCAAGAGUUCCUAUCACCUUGUCUAGAACUGACUGUUUCCCAUCGCUGCUGUAUCCUCCAGCUUUCUCAAUCAAGAAUCCUAAAGGUGCAACUUCAAAUAGCAGUCUUAGCUUGGCUUUGGCAGUUGGAGAUGUCACAUUUGUGAAAAUAUAACCUCCAGCUUUCUCUAUCAAGAAUCCUAAAGGUGCAACUUCAAAUAGCAGUCUCAGCUUGGCUUUCGCAGUUGGAGAUGUCACAUUUGUGAAAAUACCUUUCUCCUUCACAAUUAUCUGCACAUUUGACAAGAAGAACAAGUAUGAAUUAACUGUUAAAAAGUAUUUGAGCUCGAAAGAUUACUUAAUCAAAUUACCU